CCUCCAUGGAAAGUAGGAACGAAAAAGCACCAUAGCCAAAAAUCCUUUUGUAAAUUCAUUCUUGCUGGGCUUAAGCUAUUGUUCUAUUGCUGAUUUCUCCGGUUGCCCUCCAAAAAAAAAAAAAAAAAAAAAAAAAAAAAAAAAAAAAACCAAAAAAAAUAUAUAUAUAUAUAUAUAUGGCGAGCUUCUUUCAGAGACUCGCCAAAGCUACUCCGGUAGCAUUCGCCAAUUCAUUCGGGAGCCAACCCAAGUCCGGUUAUAGAAUUCCUUUCAGAGCACUUGCAGCAGUUUCUGGUGGAAUCUCUUAUCUGUACUAUGUUUCCUCACCUGAUAUGAUUUUCAUUUGAUCACAUUGCCAAGAUGGGUUAGAUGUUGCUUCAUGCCUCCUCACAAGGGCACCACUGGGACAAGAUGCUGAAGGAAAACCAAAAUAUGUUGUACACAUAUCAAAUCCAGAUGCGAAGGGAUAUUUUUGACUUAUUAAUUAAGGUGUACCCAGAAGGAAAAAUGAGUCAGCAUUUUGCAAGCUUAAAACCAGGCGAUGUGGUUGAAGUGAAGGGGUAGAUUUCCCAGCCUGAAUUAUUGGCUGAGGAUAUAUGCGCUGAAUCAUCUUUUUUCAUCAAUCCUGAUCCUAUGUCAAUUCAAUAAGGGGUGGAUAAAUCAUAGGUCUUAUGCUGGUUGGGUUUAGUAACUUUAGUUUUAAGGUCGAAUACACAGGCUUAAAAGAAUGAAUAGUGGUUUUAUAUGUGUUUUUCAAAGCAUUUUCAUGCAUGUAAACUAUAUGAUGCAUCUGGAAGCAUACUAAAGUGGGAGAUUCAUGAUUAAUCUAUUUAACUUGUUUUAAAUAGAUUCAAUACAGUAAUCCUUUGGAUGAGUAUCUAGUAUUUCUUGAGGAAAUCUUGUGUUUCCUUAAGUCCUGCCAGCCAUGAAAAAGCAGAAUAGGAAUAGUCUUCCGAUGAUUCUCAAUGGGCUCUUCCUUGCUGCUAUCUGCUUAUUAAUACUAUGUUAUCUUUGACCCUGUUAGAAACUAAGUUAUCCAUUGUCUCGAUUGCAGAUGAGGGUCAUUUUUUGUGGGCAUGGUGUGCUGAAAGUUAAUAACGUCCAUAUUAUUGCAUCUCAGAUUGUCAUAGAGACAAUUUAAUUGGGCUUACUUUAAUUUUGCGAAACCAAUUGACAAAUCUGGCGCAGAAAGUUUUGGAAAUUCUCCCAUUUAAAGUGGAAAUCUUUCAGGUUUGUUUCCUGGAUGUCAAUUAUGUAUUGCAUUUUUCCCCUGUGGAUAAUAAUUUUAGUGGUUUAAGAAAAUGUUUUUGUUUGUUAUCAUGUUGAGUCUGUUAUUGACUAGCAAAUUAAGCUUAAAUUUUCUUUUUAAGUUGUCAGUUGUCAGUUUGCCUUGUAAAAAUAAACUAAGAGAAUCAUUUAUGUGGGAAUUGUUAUGCUUAGUCAACAAAUGUCCUGACAAAUGUAAAAAUAAACUCUAGAGGGUCCUGAUAACAAAUGUCCUAGGUAAAUGUUUAGUUACCUAAACAACGUUUCUGGUAUAUUUGAGGCACCAAGUUGGAGCCUGAAACUGACUCUGCAGCUAAGCAGGAGUGAUCUACUUUAAAAUGUGAUUGAAUUAUCUUUCUAAACUUAUUUUGGGGCUUGUUAGUAUUUAAUUUUGUGCAUUGGAUAUUUAUGUUUAUGUGAUGGACUUAAGAUGUAAAUUAUUAUUAUUUAUUUCUAUUUUAAUUGCAUAUAGGUUGAAUUAUUGGUGUAUAAAAAAAAAUUGUAUAGUGAGUGUAUAUCAGUCUUUAAAUAUAUUUUAGACAUGGCAAUUUGGUAACCUUUUGAAUUUAAAUAUUAUGUGAAAUUUUGAAUAGUUUUGCAAGCAUACGAGUCUACAUGUGUAUAUAUAUAUAUAUAUAUUUCUAUAUAUGUUUGUGUGUGUGUGUGUGGUUUUAGCAUGAUAGCUAAUGUAUUAAAGUUUUGGUUGGUAUGGAGUUUUGUUAUUGAAAAUGAGAAGAUCUUUUUUGGAAGGUUUUGCAUAGGGGAAUGUUCAUAUUGCAAGGGAGGUUUUGCCCCAUUUUUUAUGAAAUGCCCGGUAGAGUUUCUCCUAGACAGGGUUACCAUGGGAGUCCUGGAGGGAUCCCUGAGGCCGGUCCUGUAAGUUACACAUAAACAUUAAUCAUUAAUAAAUAACAAAUAAAUAAACAUAAUUAAUUAAAUCUUUGCUUUGGUGUAUAUAAGUGUUUUUAUGUGAUUUUAGAUAUGUUUUGAAUGCUUUAGUCUUAUACGUUUAUUGAUAAUUUUAUUGUGGAAUUGAUAACAUCAAUUAUGUGAUCAUGAUUAUGGUGUAUUUGGAAGUCGAGGUUUGAUAUUUAAAGCCUUAGUAUUUAAUUUCAUCUUAUGGUUUAAAUUGGGUUAGCCCGGUUUAAAUAUAUAUAUAUAUAUAUAUACACGGUUAUCUAUGGUUUCGUUAAAUAGGAUUUGAUAAAUAUUAGAAUAUAUAUAUAUACACUUAAAUGUUUAUAGAUUUAAUAUUUAAGGUUUGAUAUUUAAAUCCAUGUUAUGGUUUAAAUGGGUUAGCUUGAAUAUAAAUCGUUAUUUAUUAUUUUGAGAAAUGUGGUAUUCGCUAAAAUAUAGGUUUAUGUAAUUUUAUACAGUUGAUUGUAUUGAGAUGUAUCAUACAAUAUCAAUGUUCUUAGUGAUGAUAUUAUAGCGUGCAUGUUUUUUAGUCAUUCUACGUGAGCUAUAGCAUCAUUUAGUCACCCUUUCCAUGGCAAUAAAAUGACAGAAUUGACCAGGAUGGUGAUAUUAGCAUGCAGGUCAUUUUAGUCAUCCUACGGGAGCUAGGGGGUGCGGGGUGAUAGAUUAAUUAUAUACUGCAGUGAGAUCAUUUAGUUUCCCUCCCCUUGGACCGUAGUAUAACACGUUAAUUAGCAGUGAUGCCUUUAGGAUGCUAAGGGGUCAUAUGAAGAUUUAUUUUCUCCCUAUUUACAUCAAGUGGUGUUUGGGGUGUCAAAUAUUAUUGGACAACGCAUGAUAUAGUAUGAUACACAUUAUGGUCUUUAGUUCUCUAUUAUAAUUUACAUAGUUUUAUUGUUUUAUUUGACUAUUUUCUUUCCAUGGGUUCAUUUAUAAAUUUAAUAAGAUUUCAUAGACUCUUGAUCAAAUAUAAUUAUGUUUAUUGUUUAAUCAUUUAAUCGCAUUAUUAUGGCUAUUGUUUGAUCAAUUACUUUUAUUUUGUGGUUCAACAAUGUCAUAAUCAUAUAUAAGUGGUUAAAUGAUAUUUUAAUAUUUUCUAAUCUUAAUGAUGAAUUUAAGGUUAGUUUUACCAUAUUGUCGAAUACACGAUGACUUUAUGGUUUAUAUUAUUUGAUUUGUCGAAUAUUGAAUUUAUUUCGUUUAAAUCUUUUAGGACUGGUAAAUUGGUUUUUGUGAAAUGGUUUUAAUGCAGGAACUUUUUCAAAAGGGUGACAACAUGAGAUUUUGAGUAAAAAUGAAUUUUCAAAGUUAAAUUAUUUUAUCAUGUUACUAUUACUGUUAUUCCAUCACUUACGGGAUGAUUUUUUUAUCUCAUUCUUUAUUAGUUUUACUUUUGUUUCCCCUAAGUCUAGGUAGCUAGGAAGCUAUUCUCUAUUCUUCACGCAUCACCACCUUCGUUACUAGUGAUGUGCAGAACCUUCUACCCCUUUCAUUUAUUUUAUCUCAUUUCAUUUUAUUUUGUUUUUCCUUCAGAUCAUUAAAUCUAGUUGUAUAAACUUAUUACUAUGUACUUUAGAAUUGCUCUUAUUACACUAAAGACAUCGGAGGCUGCUCGUUAAAUAUUAAGGUUUGAGACCUAUGUUAUUGUGAUGAAUUAUAUAUAUUUACUUAGAAGUGUUGUAAACUUAUAGCAUUGUAAUUACUGGGAGUUGUAUGGUGGUUGCGGAUAUAGAA